AACGAACGCUGGCGGCAUGCCUAACACAUGCAAGUCGAACGAGACCUUCGGGUCUAGUGGCGCACGGGUUCGUAACGCGUGGGAACCUUCCCUUAGGUUCGGAAUAACUCCCCGAAAGGGGUGCUAAUACCGGAUAAUGUCUUCGGACCAAAGAUUUAUCGCCUUUGGAUGGGCCCGCGUUGGAUUAGCUAGUUGGUAGGGUAAAAGCCUACCAAGGCGACGAUCCAUAGCUGGUCUGAGAGGAUGAUCAGCCACACUGGGAGUGAGACACGGCCCAGACUCCUACGGGAGGCAGCAGUGGGGAAUAUUGGACAAUGGGCGAAAGCAUGAUGCAGCAAUGCCGCGUGAGUGAUGAAGGCCGUAGGGUUGUAAAGCUCUUUUAACCGGGAUGAUAAUGACAGUACCGGGAGAAUAAGCUCCGGCUAACUCCGUG
rnacentral:rRNA from 1 species